rnacentral:lncRNA from 1 species
UUUCAUCAGUAUUUUGUUUUUUUAAAAAGUAUCAGUUCAUGAGAGAUUAAAGAUAAUCAAAACAAGGAGUUCCUGUUGUGGCUCAGCGGUAAUAUGGAACCCAGAUAGUAUCCAUGAAGAUGCAGGUUUGAUCCCUGGCCUUGCUCAAUGGGUUAAGUAUCCAGCAUUGCCAUCAGCUGUGGUGUAGGUUGGAGACAUGGCUUAGAUCCCAUAUUGCAGUGGCUAUGGUGUAGGUUGCAGACGCGGCUCAGAUCCCGCGUUGCUGUGGCUCUGGCGUAGGCCGGUGGCUACAGCUCCGAUUCAACCCCUAGCCUGGGAACCUCCAUAUGCCGCGGGAGCGGCCCAAGAAAUAGCAACAACAACAACAAAAGACAAAAAGACAAAAAAAAUAAUAAUAAUAAUAAUAACAAAAAGAAAUUAUCUGGCCCUUACCACAGAUAAUUUAAGAAGUAAUUUCUUAAAGCACACAUUGGAAAACAUAGGUUAAAUAAAGGCCAAAAGUAUGAAAAAGCACUUUGAAAUCCAGGUGCCACUUUUGUUUCUAGGCUACUUUCUUGCCAUUUCUCUGGUUGCACCCUGUAAGCCAACUGAGUUAACUGGCUUUUCUGUAUCUCACAUUGAUCCAAGCUGUUCAUCUACCUGAUAAGCCUUUGUCCCAAUUACCUGCCUGGUGCACUUCUCCUUAUCCUUCCAAAUUCAGCUCCAAACGCUGGUUCUAUGACAAAUCCUCAGAUUGCUCUAUAUAGAUUUGGGUACCCCUUUGCACUUCCAUAGCAUUCUGGUAACCUUAUUCAAAAGUUGAUUCCCUUCUCUUGAAUCAUUUUCUUUACCACAAACAUACAUUGGCCACUUGCAGUCUGCAAGGCUCUAUACUCUCACUGGUGGAUAUAAUUAAGUACAAGUUCUUGCCCUUGGGAGUUCACUCUGGAGUAAAUACAACAUCACCUACUAAUUAUUCAGAAUUUAUUGUUUAACAGAUUUAAGACAUAAUUUGCAUAUCAUCCAAUUCACCUGUAUAAUGCAAUCAUCUCUAGUGCCUUCACAGGGUUUUACAACCAUCACCACAAUCGAUUUUAGAGCAUUUUCAUCAUCUCCCCAAAUGUUUUCCUAUCAGUAGUCAAUUACUUUCCCACACACCCCACACCUCAUCACUGGCAAACCACUAAUCUAAUUUCUUUGGUCUCUAUAGAUUUGUCUGAUCUGGGCUUUCCUAUAAAUUGAAUUAUACUAUAUACAGGCUUGUGUGUGUGUGCAUGCACACCUACCCACCUGGCUUCUUUCACUUAAGAGUAAUAUUUUUCAAGAUUAGCACAUUGUAGCAUGCAUCAGUACUUUAUUCCUUUUUGUUACCAAAUAAUACACCAUUGCAUGGGUAUCCCAUAUUUUAUUUAUCCAUUCAUCAGUUGAUAAACAUUUACUUUGUUUCUUUUUAGGUAUUAGAAAUAAUACUAUUAUGAACAUUUAUAUACAAGAUUUUGCAUGGAAAUAUGUUCCCAUUUCCCUUGAGUAUAUACCUAGGAGGGAACUGCUGGGUUGUAUUAUGUAAUAUGUUCAAUAGUAGCCUGCCAAAGAUGUUUACAUGUCUAACCCCUAGAAUCUAUGAAUGGUAAAUCAUCACAGAUGAAAUUAAGCUAAGAAUCUUGAUAUGAGAUCAUCUUGGAUUUCCUAGAUGGGCCUUAUAUCUAAUGACAAGUGUUCUUAUAAGAAACAAGACAAACAGAGGAAAAGGCCAUGUGAGGAUAAAAGCAGAGAUGGGAAUAAUGGAGCCACAAACCAGGAAAACAUUUGGAGCCACAGAACACUAGGUGGCAAUGAAGAGGUCUUAACAGAGUUUGCAGAAGGUGUGCAUCCCUAACCCAUUCCUCAGACUUCCCCUCAGUCUGUUCUCUGUGAGUCUGCUUCUGCUUUGUCGAUAGGUUCAUUUGUGCCGUAUUUUAGAUUCCAUCUAUAAGCGAGAUCAUACAGUACUUGCCUUUCUCUAAUUAAUUUCACUUAGCAUAAUAUCCUCUAGAUCUAUCCAUGGUAUCACAAAUUUCAUUUUCGUUCUUUAUGACUAAUAGCCCAGUGUGUGUGUGUGUGUGUACACACCACAUCUUCUUUAUCCAUCCACCUACUAUCAGUGGACCCUUAGGUUGCUUCUGUAUUUUCUUAGCUAGUGUAAACAAUGCUACAAUAAACACUGAGAUGUGCACAUAUAUUUUUGAAUAAGUAUUUAUAUUUUAUUUGGGUAAAUACACAGAAGUGAAACUGCUGGAUUAUAUGGCAAUUCUAUUAUUCUAAAUUUUUUGAGGAAGCUCCAAACCGUUUUCAGUAGUGGGUGCACCAAUUUAUAAUCCCACGAACAGUGCACAAGAGGUGCCUUUUCUCCACCUCCUCAUCAGCACUUGUUAUUUGUUGUCAGUAGUUUUGAUUUGCCUUCUCUUGAUGGCUAAUCAUGGUUAGCAUCUUUUUCAUGUGCGUAUUGGUCAUUUAUGUCUUUGGAGAUACGUCUAUUCACAUGUUUUGCUCAUUUUAAAAUCAGAUAGUUUUAAUUAUUGAUUUGACAGCUUUCACAUCUAAACAAAUAUUCCUGAUCUUAUAUAUUACUUGCAAAUAUUUGCUCCCAUUCUAAGUUGUGUUUUCACUUUUUGAUGAUGUCCUUUGAAGUGAAAGCCUUUUAAUUUUAAUGUAGACCAAUUUAUAUAUUUUUUUCUUUUGUCACUUGAGCCUUUGGUAUCAUAUCUAAGAACCUUUCACCUGACCAAGGUCAUAAAGAUAUAUUCUUACAUUUUCUUAUGAAUUUUAUAACUGUAUUCUUAAAUUUAGGAAUAUAAUCCAUUUGAGUUCAUUUUUAUGUGCAUUGUGAGAAGGGACUCGGUUUUAUUAUUUUUCUUAUGGAUGUCUAGUUCUUUCAUAUCAUUUGCUGAAAACACUAUUCUUUCUCCUUUUAAUUGUUUUGGAACCAUUGUCAAAAAUCAUUGACUAUAAAUCUGAAGGCCUAUUACUCAACUUUCAAUUCUAGUUUAUUUACAUA